rnacentral:piRNA from 1 species
GACUUUGCUGGACCGUUCGAAGGAUC